GCAAGUCCACAUGAUUUUUUUCUCAUCUAUAUCCACUUAUUAUUAUGCUACAUUAAUGAUACCUUCACUCGCUUUUAUUUUUCUCACUUUCUUCCAAAAGAUUAGCAUUUAGCAAACAAGGGUUGCUUUGUUUUAUUUUCUUGCCUCUGUGUUUUUAUUUUUCUUGUAUGUUAUUAUGACUAGCAGCCAAUCAGUCCGUGUAUCUAAACUUCUCCUCUGAUUUAUACCCUAAAAAACUUCUCCUCUGAUUUCUAAACAGUUGUUGCCUAAUUUGUAGAUUUGGCUUUCUUUUUGAGAGAGAGAGAGGACUGGACGGUCCAUGGCCUCUUAUUAUCUCUGCUUCAAUUAGUGUGUUUCUCCUUUAUUGAAUCAGAGUCUAUCAAGAAGUGUAUGCUUUUCAGACCAGGGUCUUUCCAAUGGAUAUUGGUAAGAUUGUUGGAAACAUAAUUCCUUUAGUAGGCAAAUAUUGGAGUUAUCACAAAAAGGCUGAUCAACACGUGAAGAAUCUGAAGAGA